AAGAACGUACCUCUUGUCCAGACAAUCGGUGGACGAUUUGGCUCAAGCUCUCAAACUCUUGUGAGGCGUAUUUUUCCUUGAUGUGAGGCAGGAGACCUUGAAAGGCUAUAUCAGCCAGCUGUGCAUCAGUUAGAGCUAGAGAAUAGCAUUUGUUCCUGAUUUCCCGAAACCUCUGCACAUAUGAGGAUAUCGGCUCGUCGCUUCUCUGCCUGAGGCUGGUCAAAUCGGAUAGCUUCAUCUCAUGUAC
rnacentral:lncRNA from 1 species